UACGUAGGAGGCAAGCGUUGUCCGGAAUUACUGGGCGUAAAGCGCGUGUAGGUGGUGGGACAAGUCUGCUGUGAAAGCGCCUGGCUUAACCGGGCGAGGUCGGCGGAAGCUGUUCGACUCGAGGACGGUAGAGGGGGGUGGAAUUCCCGGUGUAGUGGUGAAAUGCGUAGAGAUCGGGAGGAACACCUGUGGCGAAGGCGGCCCCCUGGGCCGGCCCUGACACUGAGACGCGAAGGCGUGGGGAGCGAACGGG
rnacentral:rRNA from 1 species